GUGGGUUGCUUGCAGUUUUUGGCUAUUACAAAUAGAUCUGUAUGAACAUUCCUGAGUAGAUUUUUGUGUGAACGCACUUUUCCAUUUUACUUGGGUAAAUAUGCAGAAGUGGGAUUGCGGGCCUUGCGCUCGUGCAUGUUUAACUGUCUAAGGAGCUGCCUGUCUUCCAGAGUGGCUGCGCCACAUAGCACUCCCACCAGUAGCGAAUCAGAGCUCCUGCGCUCCGCAUCCUCACCAAUGUUGCCGAGAGACCCCCGCACCCCUUCGUUCACAUGGGCCUGAUUUCACUGUGGUUUUUCAGAGUCUGGCUGGGCCUUUGCUGGCAUUGUUUCCACUGAGACAUCUGCUGUUGCCCUUAUCUCAUUUCUUCUCCAGGAUGCCUACUACAGCAUGGCUUUUGUCAAGCAGUGCCAUGUCCGCAUCUGGGAUCCAAACCAGCAAACCCCAGGCCGCCAAGAAGCGGAACAUGCGAACUUAACCACUGCGCCACUGGGCCAGCCCCUGUAACAUGGGAGCAACAGGAGCCACUGGCCUUGACGGGGCCCAGACGCUGAGAAGGAUGGGCCUGUCAGGGCUGCCCUAGAGGACAGAGACCAGAGCUCCUGCUGCACUGCUGUGAUGUGCACCUGCUGUGGUUCUCUGGAUCUGUGGAUGCUUCACCAGGCUUUCCCAAGGCACCCCUACCUGGCCUCCUUACCCCAGGGAGUCUGCUCGGCGCCAUAGUCUUGGGACACCUCCUUAAACUCUCCAGAUAAGGGAGGUAAAAGAAAAAACAAAC
rnacentral:lncRNA from 1 species